rnacentral:rRNA from 1 species
AGUGAACGCUGGCGGUAGGCCUAACACAUGCAAGUCGAACGGCAGCACAGAGGAGCUUGCUCCUUGGGUGGCGAGUGGCGGACGGGUGAGGAAUACAUCGGAAUCUACUCUGUCGUGGGGGAUAACGUAGGGAAACUUACGCUAAUACCGCAUACGACCUACGGGUGAAGGCAGGGGAUCUUCGGACCUUGCGCGAUUGAAUGAGCCGAUGUCGGAUUAGCUAGGUGGCGGGGUAAAGGCCCACCAAGGCGACGAUCCGUAGCUGGUCUGAGAGGAUGAUCAGCGACACUGGAACUGAGACACGGUCCAGACUCCUACGGGCGGCAGCAGUGGGGAAUAUUGGACAAUGGGCGGAAGCCUGAUCCAGCCAGACCGCGUGGGUGAAGAAGGCCUUCGGGUUGUAAAGCCCUUUUGUUGGGAAAGAAAUCCAUCUGGUUAAUACCCGGGUGGGAUGACGGUACCCAAAGAAUAAGCACCGGCUGACUUCGUGCCAGCCGCCACCGUAA